rnacentral:rRNA from 1 species
CCUACGGGAGGCAGCAGUGGGGAAUAUUGCGCAAUGGGGGAAACCCUGAUGCAGCAACGCCGCGUGAGUGAAACAGUAAUUCGUUAUGUAAAGCUCUAUAAGCAGGGAGGAAAAUGACGGUACCUAAGUAAGAAGCCCCGGCUAACUACGUGCCAGCAGCCGCGGUAAUACGGAGGGUGCAAGCGUUAUCCGGAUUUACUGGGUGUAAAGGGAUCGUAGACGGCAGGGCAAGUCAGGAGUGAAAGGCGAGGGCUCAACCCACGGACGGCACUGGAAACUGGACGGCUGGAGUGCAGGAGAGGUAAGGGGAAUUCCUGGUGUAGCGGUGAAAUGCGUAGAUAUUAGGAGGAACACCAGUGGCGAAGGCGGUUUACUGGACCGUAACUGACGUUGAGGAUCGAAAGCGUGGGGAGCAAAUAGGAUUAGAUACCCGGGUAGUC